ensembl:lncRNA
CUUUUUGCCAUUUCUAGGCCGCUCCUGUGGCAUAUGGAGGUUCCCAGGCUAGGGGUCUAAUCGGAGCUAUAGCUGCCAGCCUAUGCCAGAGCCACAGCAACACGGGAUCCAAGCCACAUCUGCAAACUAGACCACAGCUCACAGCAACGCCAAAUCCUUAACCCACUGAGCAAGGCCAGGGGUCGAACCCGCAACCUCGUGGCUCCUAGUUGGAUUCAGUCACCACUGCGCCACCAAGGGAACUCCAAAAUACUAGUGAUGUUUUUCUGCUAGUUUAACAUGGAAAGGAGGCUGGCCCCAGGACCCAAGGCAGGACAGUUCAUUCUGGUCAAAGACUUAAGCUCUUUUAGGAAAGAGGUUCUCCCCGGCCGGUAGUGCCCCGAGCUCUUUAGGAGUAUUUCAGAACCCCUGGGGUGGAGCUGCAGUUAGAACCAGCCCAGCCUGCACCUGGGCUCCUCCCCAGGGCUCUCAGAUUGUCAUCAAAGCCCUCGGGAUAAAUUCAGAAGCGUGGUUCCCCCUGAAUAAUUGCCCAGUGAUUUCCAAAUGCUCUCUUAACCAUCUAUAAAAAGGCCGUCUCCAUUCCGGAACACGUACACCCCGGGUCCCUCUGUCUGACAGAUCACGAUGACUGGGCCAGCCAGGAGGCCACCGUCAUGCAGCAUUUUCGCCUCGAAACCUAAAAGGCCUGGGUUCUCUGACCUCCACGGCUUGUCCAGACCACCCACCCUCUGUUUGCAACCCUCCUCCAACCUUGAAACCCGACCCCCUCCUCUGUAGGAACCACCCAUGUUUAAGCAAAUAAAUACCCCAAAGUAACCAGCUCCCUGGUGGUAUUCAAAUAAAUGUCCCAGGAAAGAGUAUGGCGGCGGGAAGGGGUGGUACCCUGGGCCUCCAGUGCAGCUUGCCUGCCUGGAAGCAUCCUUGGGCUGGGUCUCUGCAGAUAUCGGGCCAGUGCUUCUGUGCAAGAUGAGCAAUGCGACACCCUCCUUCUACCCCCCAAACAGGGGAGGGGCUGAAGGGUUCUGUAAGUCACCUUCUGGGGAGGUUGUGGCUGCUGGCUGAGCUGCAGGGAGGGUGGGUGGUGCUCAGUCAGAGAGGCCACCCUCCCAAAGCUGUGCAGAGAUGCCAGGUAAGCUCCCAGUUCCUCAGCCGUAAGCCCUGAAAUCCCUCUGCCGUUUGGGAGGGUGGCUGGGUGGGUGAGUAGGAUGCCCCGGGGAUCAGCUCUCUGUGACUCAGAAACACUUCAAGAGAGCCUGGAGACCAGCCUGCAGUGAAGAGGGGUGCGGGGGAGAAGCAAGGGGGGCCCCACGAGUCAAAAAUCUCCCUGCCUCUGACUCAGUGGCGAAAGCCACUGAGUGUCCUUGGUUGCCGGCCGGGAAUAAAGUCCCCGGCUUUGUCACCGGUCGGCUGGUCUACAGAGUCACCGAUGAAAAGGAUUUUCAAGCGCAUCUGAGAAAUCAGAGGGAAAAAGGACAAUGGCCCAAUCGCUGCUUUUACAUGAAUCUCCAGGAGUGGCGGCCUCCUCCAUCCUCCCCCAGGGGAGGAAGAGAGGGAGCAGAGGCGUCCUCUGAAGUCGGCCCAGGGGGUUGGGGGAUGAAGGAAAGCGGGGACAAGAUGGGGCUAAAAAGGUGUGCUGAACUUGGUGGUUCUUGAUAAGAUACAGGGGGAAAUGCACUUGGAAAAAAUAACAGAUUUCCCGCCCCCCUUUGAUAAAUAAAGCCAUGGGGAGAGGGUGAGCGGGAUUAGGGUUCAAGCUUGGUUCAAACUGGCAGCAGAGGCUGAAAAAAAACCCCACAGUUUCUCCAUCCUGACACUACUGACAUGUGGGGCUGGAUAAUUCUUUGUGGCGGGGGGGCCUGUCCUGUGUGUGCAUUGUCGGAUGCUUAGCAGCAUCCCUGGCCACCACCCACUCACUAGAUGCUAAUGGUACCCUCCCCUCUGGCUGUGACAACCAGAAAUAGCUCCAGACAUUGCACAUGGCCCCCGGGGUAGGGGUAAAGGGACAACGUUGAACCUGGCUGGGAACCAGUGGUUUCCGAUCAGGGGCACAGCUGAGUUUAAAAGUCACCUCUGGGCUCCCGGCAGGGCUCUGAAGGGCCAGAGAGCUGGCCAGCUGGAAAGGAAUGUGGCCUCUCACGCAUGUGACCAAGUGCUGGUCAUCAAUGGCUUCGUGGCACCAGGACCUCAGCAGGACGCCACCCACCGGCCUCCAGACCCACACGCCCAGCAUCCUGUGGGUUAGGAAGGCCUUAAGAUCUGUGAGCAACGCAGGUACAGAGCUCUGCUGUUUGAAAGUUCUGGAAGAACAGUCGCCAUUGGUCUCAAAGUUGCCUUGGCCGGGAAAGGAGAGGGACUAUGGCCCACAUCGAGGAAGAAUUCUGCAGAGAAGGGACAUCUGGGAGGCCAGUUGGGGUCCACUUGGCUGAGCAGCCCAUCUCACUGGGCCCAAUCGAAACCAAGCAGGGCCCUGUGGGGCUCCUGGGCACACGAGCCAUGCUGGGGCCUCCAUUUCUUGUUUUGAGGGAGUACGCUUCAGCCUCCACGACCUUCCCGAGUUCCAAAGAGCAGGUUCAAACAGCUGCUAAUCAAGGCAGGGAGGGGACAUUCUAGGGAGGAACAUUCAAGAGACAACAGUGCAGCCUUCCUUCCGUAGGGUCCUGGUUCCUCCUCCAGGAAUCCAGAGAGAACCAUGUCUUUUGAGUUCUUCGGCAGAACUCAAACCCACAACACGUGGAAGACCUUAAUGACGUAGUUAGUCUUCAUUCCGGAAAGAGGAAUCGCCAGCUUUGGAGAACAAUGAAAGCUUGCAUCUGCCCUGAUCCUCAUCUGAGGCCCUAUUUUUCACUCCCAAACUAUAAAGUCACCUCCCAAUCUCUCCCAUGGUGGGCACAGUCUUUAAGGCAUUAGCCUGCUGUGGCCCCGUGUGCCUGGCAAAGCCGUGAACGCUAUCUUUCUCUCCUUCACCCCAAACCCUGCCUUGGAGUUUCUAUUUGGCCCCGGUGGACAGAGGCUGAGUUUGGGCCACACAAAGGGAGUUGAAGCAGGGCGGUGGGAGUCACUCCUCAAACAUCACGUUUCUCUUCCUAGACAAAGGCUGAGUAGAGGGCAAGAGAUGGGUGAGGGUUCUUCGAGACGCAGAGACCCCAUGGCUGGCCACCCACCACUCUCUCUGCCCACAGUAUUGGCUGCAUUUGACACAGCUGUCCCUUUGGUGGGGGAGGGGAGGACUAGCCAUGACCUGGAAGUCAAGUGUCCAACACCUGCCAUCCCUGCUGUCCCUCCGUGAUGUCUGGGAACCACCUUUAGUCCGGGCUGCCCGUAUUUCCAGAAGAGAAUCACCUCCUAGGUCAUUCCACACCGGGGCAGCCUAGCCAGCUGUGUCUUGUGUCUACACGGCAGCAUACACCGCAGAAGCGGGUAUUUGGUGCACAGGGGCUUUCUGUCAGAGGGACUCUGGUAUUUACAAUGUGGCUUGCCUAUCUCACUUGGCAAAAGAGUUU